rnacentral:lncRNA from 1 species
CGUCUGCAAAAUGGAGGCAGGGAACCUGGAGAUGUAGCCACAAUAUGGAGUAGCUCAUUUACAGAAGUGGUAUCAUUGUAAAAAUUAACAGCAGAUGUAACAUGCUUUACUUCUGCCUCCUUGCAGAUGGUUGGAACUUCCAGUCCUGUAGAAGUUAUUCACACCUCCUUCCUUUUCAUUCCCGUUGCUCACCUCAAACUGCCACUGCAUCUUCAUUCACACUAUGUACUUCCCAACUCUCAUCCCUAAGUCCUGAACUUAAGACUUCUACAGAUCAUAUUUUGGAUGUGCACUGGCAUACUGCAUUCAUUAUUUCAGAAUCAAUUUGUUUAAGACGGACAAUUACAGCUUUCACCAGCAUAGGAAAUUAAAGGAGUGGAGUUCAGCCUUAUUAAGAAUCCACACAACAGCACUCCUCUUGCUCAUUGUCUUAAUCAGCAACUAGCUAUGGGGCUGACCCUAGCCACAGCUUAUCACUCUGAACCAGCACUGAACGCUGUGCAGAAAUCCAAUACAUCAAUUUAUUAGCCUACCUUUAAGUUGUGUUAUAUCAGGUAUGUGUGGCCUGAUGAGCUGAAAAGCAUUCCUUAUAUUCCAGGAAAUGAUAUUUUCUCUUACAGGACUUUAUUCUACAUUUGG